UUAAGCUAAUAAGAGCGCAGGGUGGAUGCCUUGGCACUAAGAGCCGAAGAAAGACGUGAUAAGCUGCGAAAAGCUGCGGUUAGGAGCAAAUAUCCAAUGAUCCGCAGAUAUCUGAAUGGGGAAACCCGGCUGGAAAAACUCCAGUCACUGCAUAGUGAAUACAUAGCUGUGUAGAGGGAACCCGGUGAACUGAAACAUCUAAGUAGCCGGAGGAAAAGAAAGAAACAUCGAUUUCCAAAGUAGCGGCGAGCGAAAUGGAAAGAGCCCAAACCGGGUUGCGUGCAAUCCGGGGUUAUGGACCGCAAUAAGUGACUCAGCGGAUAGAAGAAUGGUAUUGGGAAAGCCAGCCACAGAGGGUGAAAGCCCCGUAUUCGAAAUCUUAAGAGAGCGAGCGGAAUCCGAAGUACUACGAGACACGUGGAACCUUGUAGGAACUCGGGGGGACCACCCCCCAAGGCUAAAUACUCCUUAGUGACCGAUAGCGCAUAGUACUGUGAAGGAACGGUGAAAAGAACCCCGGGAGGGGAGUGAAAGAGAACCUGAAACCCUGUGUUUACAAGCUGUGGAAGAGCUUUAUAUGCUCAACCGCGUACUUUUUGUAGAACGGUCCGGCGAGUUACGCUUACUGGCAAGGUUAAGCACUAAAGGUGUGGAGCCGAAGGGAAACCAAGUCUUAAUAGGGCGAAAUAGUCAGUGGGAGUAGACCCGAAACCGGGUGACCUACCCAUGUCCAGGAUGAAGUUGCCGUAAAAGGCAAUGGAGGUCCGAACACACAUCCGUUGAAAAGGGUGGUGAUGAGGUGUGGGUAGCGGAGAAAUUCCAAUCGAACCCGGAGAUAGCUGGUUCUCCUCGAAAUAGCUUUAGGGCUAGCCUCAAUUUAGUCUUGCGGAGGUAGAGCACUGAAUAUCCUAGGGGGCGUCAAAGCUUACCGAAGAUUAUCAAACUCCGAAUGCCGUUAAGAUGAUGAUUGGGAGUCAGACUGCACGAGAUAAGUUGGGUAGUCAAAAGGGAAACAGCCCAGACCUCCAGCUAAGGUCCCAAAGUGAGUGUUAAGUGGAAAAGGAUGUGGGAUUUCGAAGACAACUAGGAUGUUGGCUUAGAAGCAGCCAUACAUUCAAAGAGUGCGUAAUAGCUCACUAGUCGAGAGGUCCUGCGCCGAAAAUGUCCGGGGCUAAACACUACACCGAAGCUGAGGAAUGACAUAGUCAUUGGUAGAGGAGCAUUCUUAUAGGGAAGAAGCUGUACCGAAAGGAGCAGUGGACUGAUAAGAAGAGAGAAUGCCGGAAUGAGUAGCGAGAGUAAGGUGAGAAUCCUUACGGCCGAAUAUCUAAGGUUUCCAGGGUAAAGCUGAUCUGCCCUGGGUUAGUCGGGGCCUAAGGCGAGGUCGAAAGACGUAGUCGAUGGAUAACAGGUUGAUAUUCCUGUACUACAAUAUAUCAGAACUGUGGGGACACAGACAGAGAGCCAGAGCCGGGAAUGGAGAAACCGGUACAAGCGAGGUAGGAGUGCAUCAGGCAAAUCCGGUGCACAAUCUGAAGACGUGAUGUGGAGCGAAACUAUAAGUAGCGAAGCUGGUGAGCUGGCUGUCGGGAAAAGCCGCUAUUGUGUAUAUUGUACCCGUACCGUAAACCGACACAGGUGGAUGAGGAGAGAAUCCUAAGGCCGACGGAAGAAGCAUUGUUAAGGAACUCGGCAAAAUGGCCCCGUAACUUCGGGAUAAGGGGUGCCUACGCAAGUAGGCCGCAGAGAAUUGGCCCAAGCAACUGUUUAGCAAAAACACAGGUCUAUGCGAAACCGUAAGGUGAUGUAUAUGGGCUGACGCCUGCCCGGUGCUGGAAGGUUAAGGGGAGAGGUUAGACGUAAGUCGAAGCUUUAAACUUAAGCCCCAGUAAACGGCGGCCGUAACUAUAACGGUCCUAAGGUAGCGAAAUUCCUUGUCGGGUAAGUUCCGACCCGCACGAAAGGCGUAAUGAUUUGGGCACUGUCUCGACAAUGCAUCCGGUGAAAUUGAAGUACCAGUGAAGAUGCUGGUUACCUGCGCCAGGACGGAAAGACCCCAUGGAGCUUUACUCUAGCUUGAUACUGGGAUUCGAUAUUGCAUGUACAGGAUAGGUGGGAGACUAGGAACCAGGGACGCCAGUUUUUGGGGAGUCACCCUUGGGAUACCACCCUUGCAGUAUUGGGUUUCUAACAUGCAGCCGUUAUCCGGCUGGUGGACAAUGUCAGGUGGGGAGUUUGAC
rnacentral:rRNA from 1 species